UUUUUACAACACUGAACUGUUUUAUAUCAUGAGGUAUGCAAGUUUGUUAGGAGAAUAUUAGCAAACUCUGGACCCAGUUGAUGCAAUGACGAUUGCAAUGACGAUUAAGGAACCUGCAAACCCUUAUUUGCUUCUGAGAUGAGAGAUGAAUGUUUCAAACAAGAAGUGGAAAAGUUCAGCCAGUGGGGAAAAGCUCUUAUCAUGAUGGGUGUGUGUCUUUCUGGGUGGAAGUGGGAUCUGGCUGAUAUUGCAAAAAGGUAAUUUUUUUUUUGGUUCUAAGAUGAUUAAUUAGAUCUGCUCUUAUACAUCAGUAAGGAAUAAUUUUCCUUUUCGAUCCAGGCAUGAUAUAGUCCACUUGACAGUAAAUAAUUGGUGUUGAAUUAUAUUUUUGAUACUGAAAAUCUUGUUUGAGCAUGUUCAAUUGAUGAUUUGCUUUUGUGUAUGCAUAGGGAUGAAUCAAAGUUUAUCGAAGAUGUGUUGAAUAAAUUGGAUUGCAAAAGCUUUCAUGUUUCCAAGCACAUGAUAGGUGUUGAUUCCGGUUUGUUACUAGAAAUUACUACGAAAGAUGUUUACGUUGUGGGCAUAUAUGGAAUGGAAGGAGUGGGCAAGACACCUACAACAGAGUCUGUAUUUAACAGACUUUGUUAAAUAUUACAGGGAAGUUGUUUUUUUUAGAAUGUUAAAGAAAUCUCAAAACAAUGGGAAGUUAUGGUUCAAUUACAUGAAUCACUUCUAAAACCAAAUAUUCUAAGGAUCAAAAGAGUUGAAAGAGAAAUCAAUUUGAUCAAAGAACGACUUCGUCGCAAAAAAGUUCUUGUUGUUCUUGAUAACAUGGGCUAAUCCGAACAAUUAGAUACUUUGGUUGGAGAGCGAAGUUGGUUUGGUCCCAGAAGAAGAGUAAUCAUUACAACUAAAGAUGAACAUUUGUUAUGAGGCUGGAAAGCUGGAUUGACAUUCCAGCACAAGAUUAUGUGAAGCUUUCAAAUAGUGUAGUGAUUUAGGACUUCCUUUAGCUCUUGAAGUUUUGAGUUCUUGUUUGUUCAAAAGAAGCAUCCUUGUAUGUUAAUGUUUAGUGUUAUUAAAAAACUUGGUAUUUAGAGAAGACUUAGGUUUUGACAUGCUAGAUUAUGAUAAAGCAAAAGCUAUAACAUGCGGUUACUUUGAUUCAGACAGAAAAUGUAAUCGAGAUAUUCUAUGGCCUUGGUUUCUAUUCAGAAAUUGAUAUUAAUUGUCUUGUUGAUAGUUCUUUUUUAACUAUUAACAACUCAAAUCAAUUAGAGAUGCAUGAUCUGUUGCGAGACAUGGGAAGAGAGGUUGUUUGUGAAUUGUCACCUAACCGUCCUGGAAAACUUGGCAGAAUUUGGCUUCCUAAGGAUGUGCAGGGUGUGCUCAACAAUCAGACGUUAACUGAAGUUGUGGCGGGUCUCGCACUAGAUGUGCAUUUUACAUCAAAAAGUCUAUCUCUAAGCAGGAUGAGAUAUUUAAAUUUACUUCUAAUUGAUGAAGUAAAUCUCACUGGACGAUAAAUAUCUUUCCAAAGAGGUGAUAUGGCUUUGUUGGCAUGAAUGCUCUUUGCAAUCUUUACCAUCCAUUUUCAACUGGAGUAGUAGUUCUUGAUAUACAGUACAGCAACAUCAAAGAACUCUGUAAUGAAAUCAAGGUAAGGCAUGUCAAUGGAAAGGCUGUCUGUCCAGACAAAAACAACACCUGCAUUGUUAGUGAUGCCAGAAACAAAAUGAGAUUCAGGACAGGGAAGGCAUCAGAACUAUCUGGCCCAAUUUGUUGGAUGACUGCAGCAAUUUAGCAAAUACUUUUAAGAAGACUCUUGUUCAGGCUCUGUGCAAGGGCGAUAUACCAAGAUUGUUUCAGCUAUUGUGGAGACGGAUCUUCAUUAUCAUUUUAUCUUCCAGCAGUUGCAGAUGGGGAACUCCAAGCGCUGGUUGUUUGGGUUAUUUAUGUAGCCAAUGCAGCAAAUGAAAGAUUAUUUCGUGAUGCAUAAGCUUCUGCUGUUGUAAAAAAUAAUAGCAAUGAUAUUCAAUACGUUGAAAUGUUGAUGUAGCUUCUGUUUCCAGCUGUUUUUAGGUAUUUUACAUCCCAUUUUAAAGCAGUCUGUGGAGGUAAAGGAGAGAGAUCUAGUUGAAAGGGUGUGGUUGCCAUCAAAUACAA